GAUGAAGAACGCAGCGAAACGCGAUAGGUAAUGUGAAUUGCAGAAUUCCGUGAAUCAUCGAAUCUUUGAACGCACAUUGCGCCCCUUGGUAUUCCGAGGGGCAUGCCUGUUCGAGCGUCAUUUAAACCAAUCUAGCUUGCUAGGUCUUGGGCUUUCGCCUCUGGGCGGGCCUCAAAAUCAGUGGCGGUGCUGCCGGGCUUUAAGCGUAGUAAUCUUUCUCGCUAUAGGGUCCUGGUAGAGGCUUGCCAACAACUAUAAAUCUUUCAAAGGUUGACCUCGGAUCAGGUAGGGAUACCCGCUGAACUUAAGCAUAUCAAUAAGCGGAGGA
rnacentral:misc_RNA from 1 species